rnacentral:lncRNA from 1 species
GGCGGUUUGUAGCAAAAUAUAUAUGGCUCAAAAUCCAAAAGCAAAUCCAAUCAACUGCGUGUUGUGUGUUAAGUACAGGGUAACAUAAGAACAUCAUAAUUCGACUAUUAUGGCCAUACAUGUUCACCCGCACGGCCGCACGCGAUGCCGCUCCAUGGUCGAACUCGAACCAAUAUGCAUGUAUGUUCCGAGAGGUCGAUCGUGUUUGCCGGACAGAGCGCGCCGUAUGUUUCCCGAGCGUGCAUUAAUGAAUUAAUGUAGGUGUGAAUGAACGAAGAAGCGAAAAUAGGGCAUUGAUGUUGUUCGAUCUGGACUUCUGGUAGAGAUAAAUAUUUAGAAGAAGAAGCACGUCCACACUCGACAGCG